UACGUAGGGGGCAAGCGUUGUCCGGAUUUAUUGGGCGUAAAGAGCGUGUAGGCGGCCAGGUAGGUCAGCUGUGAAAACUCGAGGCUCAACCUCGAGACGUCGGUUGAAACCACCUGGCUAGAGUCCGGAAGAGGAGAGUGGAAUUCCUGGUGUAGCGGUGAAAUGCGCAGAUAUCAGGAAGAACACCGGUGGCGAAGGCGGGUCUCUGGGCCGAAACUGACGCUGAGGAGCGAAAGCGUGGGGAGCAAACAGG
rnacentral:rRNA from 1 species